GCCACCUUCUUCACUGCGCUGCUCUCGCUGCUGGUUUCCGGGCCUCGCCUGUUCCUGCUGCAGCCGCCCCUGGCGCCCUCCGGCCUCACGCUGAAGUCCGAGGCCCUUCGCAACUGGCAAGUUUUGGAAAUACUCAACAAAUAAUGAAGUACUCUUCAGAUAAUGAAGCCUCUGGAGAUGG
rnacentral:sRNA from 1 species